rnacentral:rRNA from 1 species
CCAAUAGCGUAUAUUAAAGUUGUUGCAGUUAAAAAGCUCGUAGUUGAACUUCGGGGUUUACUCAUUGGUCAGGCUUAAUUGUCUGUACUGGUGAGAUGGAUCUCUACCUUCUGAGGAACUUUCAUGUCAUUAAUUUGGUGUGAUUGGAAAUCAGGACUGUUACUUUGAAAAAAUUAGAGUGUUUAAAGCAGGCUAACGUC